CUUGGUCAUUUAGAGGAAGUAAAAGUCGUAACAAGGUUUCCGUAGGUGAACCUGCGGAAGGAUCAUUCAUAAUAAGUGUUUUAUGGCACUUUUUAAAUCCAUAUCCACCUUGUGUGCAAUGUCAGUCGAUCUUCUUCAUGGAGAUCGACCAAACAUCAACCUUUAUUUUUUAACUCUUUGUCUGAAAAAUAUUAUGAAUAAACAAUUCAAAAUACAACUUUCAACAACGGAUCUCUUGGCUCUCGCAUCGAUGAAGAACGCAGCGAAAUGCGAUACGUAAUGUGAAUUGCAGAAUUCAGUGAAUCAUCGAAUCUUUGAACGCGUAUUGCGCUCUUUGGUAUUCCGAAGAGCAUGCUUGUUUGAGUAUCAGUAAACACCUCAAAGCUUUUGGAUUUUUUAAUCGAAAAGCUUUGGACUUGAGCAAUCCCAACACCAAUCUUUUUGAGAUCGGUGGCGGGUUGCUUGAAAUGCAGGUGCAGCUGGACAUUCUCCUGAGCUAAAAGCAUAUUCAUUUAGUCCCGUCAAACGGAUUAUUACUUUUGCUGCAGCUAACAUAAAGGGAGUUUGACCGUAUUGGCUGACUGAUGCAGGAUUUCACAAGGGUCGGCAACGAUUCUUGUUAAACUCGAUCUCAAAUCAAGUAAGACUACCCGCUGAACUUAAGCAUAUCAAUAAGCGGAGGA
rnacentral:rRNA from 1 species